AGAAAUCUCGCCAGGGUCUACCUCCUCCCAGACCCUGUGAGAUACGGCCGGAGUUUACCUCCUCCCAAACGACGGCCACCGAGACACCCGCCGGACCUCCUCCCCCGGCGGGUGUUUUCG
rnacentral:sRNA from 1 species